rnacentral:lncRNA from 1 species
CUUUACCUAUAACCUACAUAUGUCCUCUGUACAAAACCAUUUCUAGGUCACUUACAGUACGAUGACAAUGCUAUGGGAUGACUGUCACAGUCCUUAUUCAGAGAACAAUGACAGACAGAAGUGUGCACAUGCUCACUACAGACAUGACCAUGAUGGCCUUAGCACACAGCAUGGAAAUGAACACCAAGACAAAAAGUGCUCAGGGCCUUUGUGAUCACUCACGGUCCACUACAAAGUCCAGGGCAAUACGAAGAGCAGCUGACCAGCCAUUUCCACUCUUUCUGCAACCCUGGUCCUCUCUUGCCAAGUGACGAUCUGUCCUUGCCUCACAGGAACUGGGAAGUGGACAUCCUUGCCUGCCAUGCUGCCUCUCACAGUGCAUUGCUACUUUCUGAUGCCAUUCGGUGGGUGGCAGCCACUGGGCAGAGGGCAAAGCUUAG